UGAGUAACACGUAAGCAACCUGCCUAUCAGAGGGGAACAACAGUUAGAAAUGACUGCUAAUACCGCAUAUGCCUUAAUUACCACAUGGUAGUAGAGGGAAAGGAGUAAUCCGCUGAUAGAUGGGCUUGCGUCUGAUUAGAUAGUUGGUAAGGUAACGGCUUACCAAGUCGACGAUCAGUAGCCGGACUGAGAGGUUGAACGGCCACAUUGGGACUGAGAUACGGCCCAGACUCCUACGGGAGGCAGCAUG
rnacentral:rRNA from 1 species